UCCGGCUUAUCACCGGCAGUUUUCUCAGAGUGCCCAACUUAAUGAUGGCAACAGAGAAUGAGGGUUGCGCUCGUUGCGGGACUUAACCCAACAUCUCACGACACGAGCUGACGACAGCCAUGCAGCACCUGUGCUCCCUCCAGCCGAACUGAAGGCCCUAAUUUCUCAGGGCCGCGAGGGGCAUGUCAAGACCUGGUAAGGUUCUUCGCGUUGCCUCGAAUUAAACCACAUGUUCCACCGCUUGUGCGGGUCCCCGUCAAUUUCUUUGAGUUUUAAUCUUGCGACCGUACUCCCCAGGCGGGGUGCUUAACGCGUUAGCUGCGCCACUGAGAGGUAUCCCCCCAACGGCUAGCACCCAUCGUUUACAGCGUGGACUAC
rnacentral:misc_RNA from 1 species